GAAAUGCGAUAAGUAGUGUGAAUUGCAGAAUUCAGUGAAUCAUCGAAUCUUUGAACGCACAUUGCGCCCUUUGGUAUUCCUUAGGGCAUGCCUGUUCGAGCGUCAUCUAAACCUUCAAGCCCUGCUUGGUGUUGGGUGCCUGUCCCGCCUCCGCGCGCGGACUCACCUCAAAUCCAUUGGCGGCCCCCGCGUCGUCCACGAGCGCAGCAGAAACGCGAACUCGUGAGCCCAUCCGGGCGGCUCCCAGAAGCUACACCCACCCAGUUUGACCUCGGAUCAGGUAGGGAUACCCGCUGAACUUAAGC
rnacentral:misc_RNA from 1 species